AUUGAACGCUGGCGGAAUGCUUUACACAUGCAAGUCGAGCGGCAGCACGGGGGCAACCCUGGUGGCGAGCGGCGAACGGGUGAGUAAUACAUCGGAACAUGCCCAGUCGUGGGGGAUAACACUUCGAAAGAAGUGCUAAUACCGCAUACGUCCUGAGGGGGAAAGCGGGGGAUCGCAAGACCUCGCGCGAUUGGAGUGGCCGAUGUCAGAUUAGCUAGUUGGUGGGGUAAAGGCCUACCAAGGCAACGAUCUGUAGCUGGUCUGAGAGGAUGAUCAGCCACACUGGGACUGAGACACGGCCCAGACUCCUACGGGAGGCAGCAGUGGGGAAUUUUGGACAAUGGGGGCAACCCUGAUCCAGCCAUUCCGCGUGAGUGAAGAAGGCCUUCGGGUUGUAAAGCUCUUUCGGCAGGAACGAAACGGUGAGCCCUAACAUAGCUUGCUAAUGACGGUACCUGAAGAAGAAGCACCGGCUAACUACGUG
rnacentral:rRNA from 1 species